UAACUCAUGAAGCAGUGAACCCUCAAAGCACAGUACCACGCCGCCACGUACUCCACCUCAGGACGCCGGAAGAGAAGGACGGGCCGCUGGUGAAGGAUUUUCUUGCCCCGAAUCCUACAUAUCCUUCGUCAGUAGGAGUUUGUAGGGUACCAAAGAAGGAAAACCAAGCCCUUAGGAUGGAAAGAGAAGCAGCAGGAAGGACGUGACAAAGGGAGAUAACGAAAGGAGAAGCAGGGAAGAAGCAACAGACGUGGAUAAGAAGAUAAGAAUAGCAAGAUACGUGGAUAAGAGUGAAGAGAAGAUUAGAAGGAAGUUAAGAAGACUACGAGGAAGAAGAGAAGAACAGGGUGUAUGCGUGGAGAAAAGGAGAGAAAAAAAGAAAGAGAGGAUACGUGAAUAAGACCUAAAGAAAUACGAAUAAGACAGAUUGUGUAGAGAAAAUAAGAAAGGAGAGAGAAUGAAGUCAAUUGUAUGUAGAGAAAAUAAGAGAGGAGAGAGAAUGAAGUCAAUUGUAAAAAUAUAACAUGCAACUCUCUCUCUCUCUCUCUCUCUCUCUCUCUCUCACCCACUACAGCCCACAGCGUCUCCCCCCCAGUGUGUUUACAAAACCACAGUUACUCACCACAGCCCCUCACACAAAUAUUGCACAACAAUUCCAAGGAAGAGAAUGAGAAACGGGGGAGAAAAAGAGAAGAGAAGGAAAAGUGCUAAAGUAAUGAAACGCGACGUAAGACAUGAUAAAAGAGGAGGAAGAGAGUCAGUGUUGAGUAUCGUGUUAUAUUCUCAUUCAUCUAUCCAGGUGUUGCAAGACCAGACAUUCAUUUGUCAUUAACACUUACACCUUUACUGCUGCAAUACCCUAAACAAACACACACACACACACACACACACACACACACACACACCUUGUCACCACCAUCGCCACUGCUCACCUGAAAUCCUCGCAGUUGUGACCACAUUUCGUCAGGUAAAAAUAUACAAGAAAACCUGUAAGUAAAUGAUUAAUAAAAGAUAAAAUUACG